GUGUUGCAUGAAAGGAGACAAGGUUAGCACUCCCCUUGAGAAGGAUGGAAGAGGUCCUAGUGGCCUUUACAAUACGUGGUUGUAAAGUUAUGGUUAAGGCAUCGCCACCUACUUCAAUCUAU